AUGACUUGGAAGGCCCUUCUCAUCAGCCUCCUGGCUCAUUACACAGGUUCUAUAGCCUCUUAUGUGCUGACUCAGCCAUCAUCUAUCUCCAUGACCCCAGGACAGAUGGCCAGAAUCACAUGUGAAGGCAACAAUAUUGGUAGUAAAAAUGUGCACUGGUACCAGCAGAAGCCAGCACAGUCCCAGCUGCUCGUUAUCUACAAUGAUAAAAGAUGGCCCUCAGGAAUCCCUGACGGAUUCUCUGGCUCCAACUCUGGGAACACAGCCACCCUGACCAUCAGUGGGUCCCAAAAUGGAGAUGAGGCUGACUAUUACUGUCAUGUGUUGGAUAGUAGUGCUGCUCACAGUGACACAGGCAGACAGGGAAGUGAGACAAAAAUCUACCACCAGCCUGGCACCAAAGGCCUCUUCCUACCCUGGUUACCCUGA